ensembl:lncRNA
GACCCCAAUUGUAGUGACCCCAUUGUGGUGACCCCAUAGAGAGGACCCCAUUGAGGUGACCCCAUAGAGAGGACCCCAUUGUAGUGACCCCAUUGAAGGGACCCCAAAAAGGGGACCCCAUUGAGGUGACCCCAUUGAGGUGACCCCAUAGAAAGUACCCAUAAGGGGACCCCAUUAUGGUGACCCCAUUGAGGUGACCCCAUUGCAGUGACCCCAUUGAGGUGACCCCAUUGAAGUGAUCCCACUGAGGUGACCCCACUGAGGUGACCCCAUAAAGAUGUCCCCAUAGUGGUGACCCCAUUGAGGUGACCCCACUGAACUGACCCCAUUGGGGCGUCCCCAUAAAGAUGUCCCCAUUGCAGUGACCCUAUAGGGAUGACCCCAUUGCAGUGACCCCAUUGUGGUGACCCCAUUGGAGUGACCCCAUUGGGGCGUCCCCCUAAAGAUGUCCCUAUUGGGGUGACCCCAUUGAGGUGACCCCAUUGAGGUGACCCCAUUGAAGUGACCCCAUAACGAUGUCCCCAUUGCGGUGACCCCAUUGAGGUGACCCCAUUGAGGUGACCCCAUUGGGGUGACCCCAUAACGAUGUCCCCAUUGCAGUGACCCCAUAAAGUUGUCCCCAUUGCGGUGACCCCACUGAGGUGACCCCAUAAAGUUGUCCCCAUUGCGGUGACCCCAUUGAGGUGACCCCAUUGAGGUGACCCCAUAAGUCUGCCCCAAAAAGGGGGCAUCCACCCUAUAACAGUGUCCAUCCACCCCAUAGCAGUGUCCCCACCCCAUAGCAACAUCCCCACCCCAUAGCCGUG